UUCAGAGUAUUUUCGAAAAGUUAUAUGGCCUCGAUGGAUAUGAAGGGCAAAGAGCUUCUUAUAAUGUAUUCAAUGGACCGAAAGACCCUCGGUUAAUAGAAUAUUGUUUGACUUUCUAAAUUACGCUUUAUUUCAAAAAUGUGGUGGAAAA